UCAUCGUAGGGUUAGUCGGGACCUAAGUCGAGUCCGAGAGGGGUAGACGAUGGCAAAUCGGUUAAUAUUCCGAUACCGACUGUUGUUCGCUUGAGUGAUGGGGGGACGCAUAGAGUUAGUUGAGCUCACUGAUGGAAUAGUGGGUCGAAGGAUGUAGGUUGAAACAUAGGCAAAUCCGUGUUUCGUUAGACCGAGAUCUUACAGGCAGAGCAAUCUCUUCGGAGAGCGCUUUGAAUCAAUGAUACUGUCGUGCCGAGAAAAGCCUCUAAACGAGAACAAUGGUCGCCCGUACCGUAAACCGACACAGGAGGGUGAAAUGAGUAUUCUAAGGCGCGUGGAUGAACCCUGGUUAAGGAACUCUGCAAACUAGCACCGUAUCUUCGGUAUAAGGUGUGCCCUAGAUGUUAGUGGACUUGCUCCACAAAGCGUCAAAGGGUCGCAGCAAGGUGUCCCUCCCGA
rnacentral:rRNA from 1 species